UACGUAGGUGGCAAGCGUUAUCCGGAAUUACUGGGCGUAAAGCGUGCGUAGACGGUUAUUUAAGUCGGGUGUGAAAGCCCCGGGCUCAACCUGGGAAUUGCAUUCGAGACUGAAUAGCUAGGGUACGGUAGAGGGAAGCGGAAUUUCCGGUGUAGCGGUGAAAUGCGUAGAUAUCGGAAGGAACAUCAGUGGCGAAAGCGGCUUCCUGGACCAGUACCGACGUUCAGGCACGAAAGCGUGGGGAGCAAACAGG
rnacentral:rRNA from 1 species